UCUACCUUUAGGAGGAGGAUACCUUUGAACGAAAGUUAAUACCUCCAUAUGCCGAGAGGUAAAAGGUUUAGGCCGCCCUAGAAAUGAUCUUGCGUCAGAUUAGCUAGUUGGUGAGAUAAAAGCUCACCAAGGCAAUGAUCAGUAGCUGGUUUGAGAGAACGAUCAGCCACAUUGGAACUGAGACACGGUCCAAACCACUACGGUGGGCAGCAGUGAGGAAUUUUCCGCAAUGGGCGAAAGCCUGACGGAGCAAUACAGCGUGAAGGAUGACGGCCUGUGGGUUGUAAACUUCUUUACCUAGAAAAGACAUUUAUUUAGACGGUAUCUAGGCAACAAGC
rnacentral:rRNA from 1 species